CCUACGGGAGGCAGCAGUGGGGAAUAUUGGGCAAUGGGCGCAAGCCUGACCCAGCAACGCCGCGUGAAGGAAGAAGGCUUUCUGGUUGUAAACUUCUUUUCUCAGGGACGAAGCAUGCGACGGUCCCUGAGUAUUAAGCCACGGCUAACUACGGGCCCGCAGCCGCGGUAAUCCGUAGGUGGCAAGCGUUAUCCGGAUUUACUGGUUGUAAAGGGCGUGUAGGCGGGGACGCAAGUCAGAUGUGAAAACCACGGGCUCAACCUGGGGCCUGCAUUUGAAACUGUGUUUCUUGAGUGCGGGAGAGGCAGACGGAAUUCCUAGUGUAGCGGUGAAAUGCGUAGAUAUUAGGAGGAACACCAGUGGCGAAGGCAGUCUGCGGGAGAGCAACUGACGCUGAGGCGCGAAAGCGUGGGGAGCAAACAGGAUUAGAUACCCUUGUAGUC
rnacentral:rRNA from 1 species